rnacentral:tRNA from 1 species
AUUAAUGUAGCAUAUAAAAAUGUGUUUGUUUUAAGUGCAAAAGAAUUUCAGUUAAUU